UCUCUUUUUUUUUUUUUUUUUUUUUCCCCUCUUCCCCCCUCCGCGUGCAGCCCGGUGUUGCUGAAUGGAAAAGCCGUGAGUCAGGCGUGUGUCAUCGCACAUAGCGGGAUAUAAGGGAGCUGUGGGGAGCUGUGGGGCCGCGUGGGGAGGGCGAGGGUGAGUGUGAGUGAGUGUGCAAGGCCAGGUGUGCGGAGCCGGGAGCGGGGGGGAAAAAGGGGGUUGGGGGGCGGUGGUGCGUGCUGUGUUGGUGUGUUGUGGAGGGGGUGUGAGCGGCGGGGGGGAGUGCGAGGAGGGUGGGAGGGUGUGAGGAGUUGUGUCAGUGUGUCAGUGUGUAUCUAGUUGUGUCAGUGUGCCUGUGUGUCGUGUAGUUGUGUCAGUGUGUCAGUGUGUCAGUGUGUGUGACUGCCUAGUUGUGUCAGUGUGUGUCACUGUCUAGUUGUGUCACUGUGUCAGUGUGUCACUGUGUCACUGUGUCACUGUGUGUGUAGUUGUGUCACUGUGUCACUGUGUCAGUGUGUCACAGUGUUGUGGUGUGAUUGUGUCGCGGUGUGGUUGUGUCGCGGUGUGGUUGUGUUGUGUCGUUGUGUCCCUGUUGUGUCGCUGUGCGGUUGUGUCAUUGUGUGGUUGUGUUGUGUCGUUGUGUGGUUGUGUCGUUGUGUGGUUGUGUUGUUGCGUCGCCGUGGUUGUGGCCGUGGCGGCGCUGCGGCUGUGGGGUCAGAGCGCCGUCAGCCCCACAAGUGUGGAGGAGCCGCAGAGCAUGGCAGUCGCACUGUGGCAGACGCUGCUGGCCCUGCUGGGUCUGUACCCCGGGCUUUGCCCCUCCCUUCCGGCCGCCCCCCGCCCGCGCCCCCCGGACCCCCGCGCCGACCUGGACAGCGUGGUCAGCCUGGCCAAAGCCCUCC
rnacentral:lncRNA from 1 species